UACAGGGGGGGCAAGCGUUGUUCGGAAUUACUGGGCGUAAAGGGUCUGUAGGUGGCUUGCUAAGUCAGACGUGAAAUCCCUCAGCUUAACUGGGGAACUGCGUCUGAUACUGGCAAGCUUGAGUGCAGGAGAGGAACGCGGAAUUCCAGGUGUAGCGGUGAAAUGCGUAGAUAUCUGGAGGAACACCGGUGGCGAAGGCGGCGUUCUGGACUGCAACUGACACUGAGUGAGCGAAAGCCAGGGGAGCAAACGGG
rnacentral:rRNA from 1 species